GAUGAACGCUGGCGGCGUGCCUAAUACAUGCAAGUCGAGCGAACAGACGAGGAGCUUGCUCCUCUGACGUUAGCGGCGGACGGGUGAGUAACACGUGGAUAACCUACCUAUAAGACUGGGAUAACUUCGGGAAACCGGAGCUAAUACCGGAUAAUAUAUUGAACCGCAUGGUUCAAUAGUGAAAGACGGUUUUGCUGUCACUUAUAGAUGGAUCCGCGCCGCAUUAGCUAGUUGGUAAGGUAACGGCUUACCAAGGCAACGAUGCGUAGCCGACCUGAGAGGGUGAUCGGCCACACUGAAACUGAGACACGGUCCAAACUCCUACGGGAGGCAACAGUAGGAAAUCUUCCGAAAUGGGCGAAAGCCUGACGGAGCAACGCCGCGGGAGGGAUGAAGGUCUUCGGAUCGUAAAACGCUUUUAUUAGGGAAAAAAAAAUGUGUAAGUAACUAUGCACGUCUUGACGGUACCUAAUCAAAAAGCCACGGCUAACUACGU
rnacentral:rRNA from 1 species